CAAAACAGCUGUAAAGUCAUUCAGUCGUGUCAUUUUAUUUUCCCAUCCUCAAAAUAAUUUAAUUAUUUCUUUUUAAAACAUAUAAAGAUAACUGUAGAUCUAUGUAUUUCUUGCUUUUAUUGGAUUAAGUUAGGUAUCUUGAAGCUGCAACGUGGCAAAUACCGGAGCAAUGUCGCGACCAUAUAAAAUCCUUAAAACCGGAGAAGGCAUGUGGAGAAAGAAACAGCAAAGAAUUGACGAAUCAGAGGUCUUGAUCCUCGAUUAAAAGGAUGAUGACAGGAAUCCCCUUGUUACUGCAGAAUCUGUGGCGUCAUUAGCAGUAGAACUUGGUGAAACUACGUCAUCCGACAGUUUUCAAAACGAAGUAACACAUAAAACAAACACGUUUCUGAUUGGUCGACAAGAAGCGGAAACGGAAGUGUUCACUGAUGUCCUUGUGAGACAAAAGGGCGGUGUGGACAAAGCUCUGCUGUAUGUAAUUUCUGAUAUAAAGAUAGAAUCAAAGGUAAGUUCUAUAUUUUAGAGUCUAAGAAAGUCUGAAUGAUUACAGGUGAGAGGAUUCAUUGUCGGUGCUUAUGCUGACACACGGUCCUAAACGUCAGCAAGAUUUAUUUCAUUACAUUUCAUUAUAUCUCAUUAUUUUUACAUCCUUUAUUCAAACUUGAAGUAGUUAUGAGAUUGUAUGCUAUCAUUGCUUCCCAAACAAUUAUAUUAAUAACUCUUCUGUUUGUCCAUUCCAGUUUUCCCGCCUUCGCAUUGGCCACCAUGCAUUCCAUAUUUGCAUAUUGUUUUAUGCAUUGCAAAUUGACCUUGCGAGAUUGUUCCCAAAGAUCCGGUUUGACUUGUGAGCAAUGCACUUUUGUAAACAAACUUUCUAUCUAACCUGUUGUGCGUUUUCGUCAUACCAGUAAGUUUUCGUUUUUUAUACAGAUCUCAGUGCUUGUAAACAAUCUGAUAAAC
rnacentral:lncRNA from 1 species